CCGACCUGGCUCACACCGGUCUAAACUCAGAUCAUGUAAAAUUUUAAAGGUCGAACAGACCUAAUAUACUAGCUACUACACCAAUAAUUAAUUUUAAUCCAACAUCGAGGUCGCAAUCAAUCUUUUCGAUAAGAACUCUAAAGAAAAUCACGCUGUUAUCCCUAAGGUAAUUUAUUCUUACAAUCUAAACCAAGGAUCGCAAACCUACACAUUAAUAAACUAUACUAAAAAAAGUUAAUUUAAUUUCUCCGUCACCCCAACCAAACAAGCCUGAACUAGUUAAACUUAACUAUACCUAAUUUUCAAUUUAACCAACCUCCUGUAAAACUCUAUAGGGUCUUCUCGUCUUCCAUUCAAAUUUAAGCUUUUUCACUCAAAAAUAAAAUUUUAAUAAACUUCUUUAGAGACAGUCACUCUUUCAUAAAACCAUUCAUUCCAGCUCUCAAUUAAAAAACUAAUGAUUAUGCUACCUUUGCACGGUCAAUAUACCGCGGCCUUUUAACACCUCAGCGGGCAGGUAAGACUUGAAAUAAAUAUCAACAAGCCAUGUUUU
rnacentral:rRNA from 1 species